rnacentral:rRNA from 1 species
UACGAAGGGGGCUAGCGUUGCUCGGAAUCACUGGGCGUAAAGGGUGCGUAGGCGGGUCUUUAAGUCAGAGGUGAAAUCCUGGAGCUCAACUCCAGAACUGCCUUUGAUACUGAAGAUCUUGAGUUCGGGAGAGGUGAGUGGAACUGCGAGUGUAGAGGUGAAAUUCGUAGAUAUUCGCAAGAACACCAGUGGCGAAGGCGGCUCACUGGCCCGAUACUGACGCUGAGGCACGAAAGCGUGGGGACCAAACAGG